rnacentral:rRNA from 1 species
GAUGAACGCUGGCGGCGUGCCUAAUACACGCAAGUCGAGCGAACAGAUGAGAAGCUUGCUUCUCUGAUGUUAGCGGCGGACGGGUGAGUAACACGUGGGUAACCUACCUAUAAGACUGGGAUAACUCCGGGAAAACGGGGCUAAUACCGGAAAAUAUUUUGAACCGCAUGGUUCAAUAGUGAAAGACGGUUUCGGCUGUCACUUACAGAUGGACCCGCCCCGUAUUAGCUAGUUGGUAAGGUAACGGCUUACCAAGGCGACGAUACGUAGCCGACCUGAGAGGGUGAUCGGCCACACUGGAACUGAGACACGGUCCAGACUCCUACGGGAGGCAGCAGUAGGGAAUCUUCCGCAAUGGGCGAAAGCCUGACGGAGCAACGCCGCGUGAGUGAUGAAGGUCUUCGGAUCGUAAAACUCUGUUGUUAGGGAAGAACAAAUUUGUUAGUAACUGAACAAGUCUUGACGGUACCUAACCAGAAAGCCACGGCUAACUACGUGCCAACCGCCGCGGUAA